rnacentral:rRNA from 1 species
UACGCCUGUCUGAGGGUCGCUAU